GCCCCGUAGCUCAGUGGUAGAGCUUCUGUAUAUGGUGAGCGAAGGCGCCUAGCAAUAACUGUCAGGAGGUCGCAGGGUCCAAUCCUGGCCGGUGGCU